UACGAAGGGGGCUAGCGUUGCUCGGAAUCACUGGGCGUAAAGGGUGCGUAGGCGGGUCUUUAAGUCAGGGGUGAAAUCCUGGAGCUCAACUCCAGAACUGCCUUUGAUACUGAAGAUCUUGAGUCCGGGAGAGGUGAGUGGAACUGCGAGUGUAGAGGUGAAAUUCGUAGAUAUUCGCAAGAACACCAGUGGCGAAGGCGGCUCACUGGGUCAUUACUGACGCUGAGGCACGAAAGCGUGGGGAGCAAACAGG
rnacentral:rRNA from 1 species